UGGUCGCAUGGCCCGACCGAAGGAAAGUAUUUAUCGCUCUAGGAGGUCUCGCGGCCUAUCAGCUAGUUGGUGGGUAACGGCCUACCAAGGCAACGACGGGUAGCUGGUUUGAGAGAACGAUCAGCCACACUGGGACUGAGACACGGCCCAGACUCCUACGGGAGGCAGCAGUGGGAAUCUUGCGCAAUGGGCGAAAGCCUGACGCAGCAACGCCGCGUGCGGGAUGACGGCCUUCGUGGUUGUAAACCGCUUUCAGCAGGGACGAAAAUGACGGUACCUGCAGAAGAAGCCCCGGCUAACUACGUG
rnacentral:rRNA from 1 species